AGAGCAUGGUAGUGGCAAUUGGGUUGUGGCUGGAAUUUUGACAGGCGGAAUUUUCAUUUGGGUUUGUAAGAAGGUGUGAUCCGUACGAUCCGGACGGUUUUAAGACAUGGGCUUUGAGAGGAGGGUGCCUGGCGAUUCCUGGAGUUUAACGAUUAUUCAACAAGUUGAUUUAAGGUGUUCCUUGUCACGGGUAGAGAUGAAUCCACGCUUGGUCAGGCUACUCUUGAUAAUUUGCAAAACCAAGGAUUCAUUGGUUAUCAACGGCUGAUGUUGAGGAGUACGACAUAUAAGGGGCGGAGUGCAAUGGUGUACAAAUCAGGAAUUCGUGAACAACUAGAAGAAGAAGGUUACAGGAUUUGGGGCAACGUAGGAGAUCAAUGGAGUGACCUUCAAGGGAAUUGCACUAGCAAUCGGACUUUCAAACUUCCUAAUCCCUUAUACUUUGUUCCCUAAUGGUCUAGUCAUGUGUAGCGUUAAUAAUUUCGUAUUAAUAAAAAUGAUACAUGAUAUGAUAUAUUAUCAGUAAUGUUUUAUAAAUGAUGGGAGUUAAAAGAGAUGGGAAAUGAGAAAUAAAAGAGUUCAAAUGAAUUGUAUGUAUAAUAUUUUAGUGUUUUAAUAGA